AUGGCCACCAAAACAGCCUUCAUGGCUGUGGUUCUGCUCAUCCUUGUGGCCGGCGAUCUCGCCCAUGGCCACGCCUUACCGCCCCCCGGGCGUGCCCGGCGGAGGAGCCUCGGCUGGAUGCAAGGCAUCAAGGGAGGGCAGCCCACUGGCACGCAGCCAUCAGACACCGCUUCUACUGCCCGCCAAGGCGCCAUUUCUUUGGUGGACAAAGGUAGAGGACUCUUCGCCAUUGCGUUGAUAAUUUUCUGGUGGUACGACAAAAAGGGUCACAGAAAGAGAAGCAGACAGAGGAGAGCAAACAGAACCGCCGCAUCAUCUUUGGCGUGGAGGAAGGCAAGUUCGUCGCGCCUGUGCCGGGAUUCAAGCUCCCGCCCCUUCCCCCGAACGCUGCCUGAGAAGAAGAGAUCACACUUCACACCACAGGGCGAGCAUGCAUGCAUGCCGUGGCAUUGA
rnacentral:rRNA from 1 species